rnacentral:rRNA from 1 species
GACGAACGCUGGCGGCGCGCUUAACACAUGCAAGUCGAGCGAGAACCGGGGCUUCGGCCCCGGGGACAGCGGCGAACGGGUGAGUAACACGUGGGUAACCUACCCUCGGCACCGGGAUAGCCCGGGGAAACUCGGAUUAAUACCGGAUGGCCCCUCCGACCUUCGGGUCGACUGGGAAAGGUAGCUUCGGCCUCCGGCCGAGGAUGGGCCCGCGGCGGAUUAGCUUGUUGGUGGGGUAACGGCCCACCAAGGCCC